rnacentral:rRNA from 1 species
CGAACGGGUGAGUAAUGUAUCGGAACGUGCCCAGUCGUGGGGGAUAACUGCUCGAAAGAGCAGCUAAUACCGCAUACGACCUGAGGGUGAAAGCGGGGGAUCGCAAGACCUCGCGCGAUUGGAGCGGCCGAUAUCAGAUUAGGUAGUUGGUGAGGUAAAGGCUCACCAAGCCGACGAUCUGUAGCUGGUCUGAGAGGACGACCAGCCACACUGGACUGAGACACGGCCCAGACUCCUACGGGAGGCAGCAGUGGGGAACUUUGGACAAUGGGCGCAAGCCUGAUCCAGCCAUGCCGCGUGCGGGAAGAAGGCCUUCGGGUUGUAAACCGCUUUUGUCAGGGAAGAAAAGGUUCUGGCUAAUACCUGGGACUCAUGACGGUACCUGAAGAAUAAGCACCGGCUAACUACGUGCCAGCAGCCGCGGUAAUACGUAGGGUGCAAGCGUUAAUCGGAAUUACUGGGCGUAAAGCGUGCGCAGGCGGUUAUGCAAGACAGAGGUGAAAUCCCCGGGCUCAACCUGGGAACUGCCUUUGUGGCUGCAUG